UCACAGGAGUAAAUAUGUGAACUCCUCGGAGAGAAUAAGAAGCAUUUUAAUAGUUGGAGAAGUGAUCAAAGAGCCUUUGGCAUGUGGGUAAAAAAAAAAAAAAAAAGUUGUGGGAGUAAUGAGUGGUUUUGCCAUUAACAAUGCCACAGUGUGUGUUUGUAUGUGCAUGUCAAUGUCUGAGGGGGUUGGUAGAGGAAGAGCAGCCUUCCUGUCCUUGGAACCGGGAUAUCCGCUGCUGUGUCCACGCUCUGAGAUGUGAUGUCCCCGAGUCUCAUGUCCUCUAACCCCGAAGACUGACGGAGGAAUAAACAACAGUCAUGCUACAUGGAGCACCCUGACUACUGCUGGCAUUUGCUAUUUUAAAGAAUGAUUUAAUGCUACUCUGUAUCUGGUGUUACUUUAGUUGUCAGUCUCUAUAACUGACAGUAUAUAAGCUCUGUAUAUUAGAAGUGCUUGUCCCUCUGCACAAUAUUUUUACUGGUUAAACUUCUUAUUCCGGGGACUUUAUGCACUGUUUGAUCACUUCCUUCUUAACUAAAUGGAUCAGCAGCAGCCUGUAGCUGUUGCUUUGACAAGAUGAUAUAAAGAACAGCCUGGAGGGGAAGUAAAUCAGUCUCUCCUCCCCAUAAUCAACUGUGAAUGCAGCAAACUGGUCCAGUGGAGCCACUCAGUGGUCAUCAGCUGCAGACUGACAGAGGAGCAGCUAGCACAUGGAGACCUCAGGUGGAAGCUGAAUUAGUGAGGAUGACUCCUGCUCCUGUCAUCUCUAAACUCCUCACACAUCUUUACCUGCACAUGAGGAAAAUCACUCCUGUAGAAUGCAGAGGGAGAUGAUGCCACAUCUGGUCCAGCUGAUGGAAGGUCUUGAAGUUCUCUGACUGGCCUGGACUGAAGAUGGUCGUCUCACUGGAUUUAAGGUUCAGAUGCUCAGUAACAAACUCCACCAAUGUGCCAACAGGGAAGCUUUAGGUGCUGUGGAAGUCUCACAUCUCCUGAUUUAAUGGAGCUGCUUUGCACUUUUUACACUGUUUAUUCACCAACACUUUAUUUAAUAAAAGUCCCAUCUAGUUUUUAUGAGGAAUGUGAUGUUUUAAUUUCUCUGUGAAAUAACUCUAGAAUAUCAUGAUUUAUGUAAAUUUACCUAAGUAAUAUGAAUGUUCAGGUUAAGAUUGUGCUGUGAUAUUUAUUAUGUAAGUUUAGCUGAUUAAAGUUUGACUCUGCACUACAAUAUUAUAAUUUAAAUUUACAUCAUUAUUAUAAUAUUUAGGGUCAGACCCUACAGUAUUGAGAUUAAGAAAUGUAAAUACACUGAACUAAUUUGGAUAUAUUUAAGUGAGACUCUAGAAUAUUAUUUGACACAAAUCUAUCUAAAUCAAAAUUUUAAUCAUUUUUACUCCAAAUAUUUACUGGAUUGAUUUAAAUACUAAAAUCACUCCUUUCUAAUCCUCUGCUGUACGUUCAAACCUGAGUCUUUAAAUAGAGAAACACCCAAGUAUCUGAUUGAAGGAACUUCUGCAGAGUCCUGGUUCCAGAACAUGAUAGAAUUAUAGACAAACUUUAACAAAAGCUGCCUGAGAGUUUACAGGUUUUUAUGUUAGAUUUCUUCAGUAAUUUAAUGAGAGUUAUCAGCAAUAAUCAAGUGUUCAUUUGAUGAACUUCAUUUCCUAAAAAUCCAGAAUUGGAGCUCAUAUCUUUGGCAGCUGUUAAGUUUCUGCUCCUUCAAAGUUCACAACACAAUGAAUGAAUUCCUAAAACACUCUCAGUGCUGGAGAGCGUUUGUGAUGCUGAAGCAGUGACUAGUUUUUCUGUUUCUUCUCUGGAGAUGCACAAUGAGGGACGUCUGCAGCGACUGAGAAAGAGUCUCACCACAUCCUGACAUGAGGAAAAAGACUUUAUUGAAGACUACAAUGAGAAAAACUAUCAGACAGCAGACGGCUGCAUUCAAGGUGAGCUCUGAACAUUUGAUAUGGAACAGGAAUUCAAUAACAGCAGCAUGAGCUUCAUUUCAGUCUGUAGCUGCUGAAUUCAUGGAUGAAUCAUCUGGCACUAGAGAGGAAGACCAUCAAACAUCCACGUCAGCUGAUGGAGGUCCAAGACUCUCACCGAACAACCAACCUACAGAGUGAAGACCUUGAAUCUGAUUGGACGGCCUCCUAUUCAGCCACAUUUGUGAACAAAUGCCUCUAAGCUGAUUUGUUUUCUAAAAUAAAUCUAGUUUGAGUCCUAAUCUAUGCCUGUGUGUUUGCUUCUUUACACCGCUGUUAACAGUUUAGGCUGUUAGAUUGUUCCAGAUAAGACAAGUACAAGAUACUUCAGAGCC